AUUGAACGCUGGCGGCAUGCCUUACACAUGCAAGUCGAACGGUAACGCGGGGCAACCUGGCGACGAGUGGCGAACGGGUGAGUAACGCAUCGGAACGUGCCCAGUAGUGGGGGAUAGCCCGGCGAAAGCCGGAUUAAUACCGCAUACGACCUACGGGUGAAAGGGGGGGAUCGCAAGACCUCUCGCUAUUGGAGCGGCCGAUGUCAGAUUAGGUAGUUGGUGGGGUAAAGGCCUACCAAGCCGACGAUCUGUAGCUGGUCUGAGAGGACGACCAGCCACACUGGGACUGGGACACGGCCCAGACUCCUACGGGAGGCAGCAGUGGGGAAUUUUGGACAAUGGGCGAAAGCCUGAUCCAGCCAUGCCGCGUGCGGGAAGAAGGCCUUCGGGUUGUAAACCGCUUUUGUCAGGGAAGAAAUCUUCUGGGUUAAUACCUCGGGAGGAUGACGGUACCUGAAGAAUAAGCACCGGCUAACUACGUGCCAGCAGCCGCGGUAA
rnacentral:rRNA from 1 species